rnacentral:lncRNA from 1 species
AAAUUUCACACUUGUAAGGUUUUUCCCCAGUGUGCACUCUCAAAUGUGUUCUUAAAUUACUUUUAUUAGUAAAUUGCUUCAAACAAAUUUCACACUUGUACGGUUUUUCCCCAGUGUGCACUCUCAAAUGUGUUCUUAAAUUACUUUUAUUAGUAAAUUGCUUCAAACAAAUUUCACACUUGUACGGUUUUUCCCCAGUGUGCACUCUCAAAUGUGUUCUUAAAUUACUUUUAUUAGUAAAUUGCUUCAAACAAAUUUCACACUUGUACGGUUUUUCCCCAGUGUGCACUCUCAAAUGUGUUCUUAAAUUACUUUUAUUAGUAAAUUGCUUCAAACAAAUUUCACACUUGUACGGUUUUUCCCCAGUGUGCACUCUCAAAUGUGUUCUUAAAUUACUUUUAUUAGUAAAUUGCUUCAAACAAAUUUCACACUUGUACGGUUUUUCCCCAGUGUGCACUCUCAAAUGUGUUCUUAAAUUACUUUUAUUAGUAAAUUGCUUCAAACAAAUUUCACACUUGUACGGUUUUUCGCCAGUGUGUAUUCUCAAAUGUUUUUUCAAAUCGUCAUUUCGUCUAAAUUGCUUAGAACAAAUUUCACAUUCAUAUGGCUUUUCUCCAGUGUGCAAUCUCAUAUGUUCUUUCAAAUGUCCUAGUUGAGAACACCCUUUAA